GAUCCUGGCUCAGGACGAACGCUGGCGGCGCGCCUAACACAUGCAAGUCGAACGAGAGAGAAGGAGCUUGCUUCUUCGAUCGAGUGGCGAACGGGUGAGUAACGCGUGAGGAACCUGCCUCAAAGAGGGGGACAACAGUUGGAAACGACUGCUAAUACCGCAUAAGCCCACGGGUCGGCAUCGACCUGGGGGAAAAGGAGUGAUCCGCUUUGAGAUGGCCUCGCGUCCGAUUAGCUAGUUGGUG
rnacentral:rRNA from 1 species